UGGCGACCGGCGCACGGGUGAGUAACGCGUAUGCAACCUGCCUGAUACCGGGGUAUAGCCCAUGGAAACGUGGAUUAACACCCCAUAGUACUUUUAUCCUGCAUGGGAUGUGAGUUAAAUGUUCAAGGUAUCGGAUGGGCAUGCGUCCUAUUAGUUAGUUGGCGGGGUAACAGCCCACCAAGACGAUGAUAGGUAGGGGUUCUGAGGGGAAGGUCCCCCACAUUGGAACUGAGACACGGUCCAA
rnacentral:rRNA from 1 species